rnacentral:rRNA from 1 species
UGCAGUCGAGCGGUAGAGAGAAGCUUGCUUCUCUUGAGAGCGGCGGACGGGUGAGUAAUGCCUAGGAAUCUGCCUGGUAGUGGGGGAUAACGUUCGGAAACGGACGCUAAUACCGCAUACGUCCUACGGGAGAAAGCAGGGGACCUUCGGGCCUUGCGCUAUCAGAUGAGCCUAGGUCGGAUUAGCUAGUUGGUGGGGUAAUGGCUCACCAAGGCGACGAUCCGUAACUGGUCUGAGAGGAUGAUCAGUCACACUGGAACUGAGACACGGUCCAGACUCCUACGGGAGGCAGCAGUGGGGAAUAUUGGACAAUGGGCGAAAGCCUGAUCCAGCCAUGCCGCGUGUGUGAAGAAGGUCUUCGGAUUGUAAAGCACUUUAAGUUGGGAGGAAGGGCAGUAAAUUAAUACUUUGCUGUUUUGACGUUACCGACAGAAUAAGCACCGGCUAACUCUGUGCCAGCAGCCGCGGUAAUACAGAGGGUGCAAGCGUUAAUCGGAAUUACUGGGCGUAAAGCGCGCGUAGGUGGUUAGUUAAGUUGGAUGUGAAAUCCCCGGGCUCAACCUGGGAACUGCAUUCAAAACUGACUGACUAGAGUAUGGUAGAGGGUGGUGGAAUUUCCUGUGUAGCGGUGAAAUGCGUAGAUAUAGGAAGGAACACCAGUGGCGAAGGCGACCACCUGGACUGAUACUGACACUGAGGUGCGAAAGCGUGGGGAGCAAACAGGAUUAGAUACCCUGGUAGUCCACGCCGUAAACGAUGUCAACUAGCCGUUGGGAGCCUUGAGCUCUUAGUGGCGCAGCUAACGCAUUAAGUUGACCGCCUGGGGAGUACGGCCGCAAGGUUAAAACUCAAAUGAAUUGACGGGGGCCCGCACAAGCGGUG